rnacentral:rRNA from 1 species
UACAGAGGGUGCAAGCGUUAAUCGGACUUACUGGGCGUAAAGCGCACGUAGGUGGUUACUUAAGUUAGGUGUGAAAUACCUGGGCUCAACCUGGGAAUUGCAUUUAAUACUGAGUAGCUAGAGUAUGAUAGAGGGUAGAGGAAUUUCCGGUGUAGCGGUGAAAUGCGUAGAUAUCGGAAGGAACAUCAGUGGCGAAGGCGUCUACCUGGAUUAAUACUGACACUGAGGAGCGAAAGCGUGGGGAUCAAACAGG